AAUUAAUUAAAAGUAAAAAUUCAGUUUCUCAAUUGCACUAGAUAUAUCUCAAGCAUGCGAGAGCCACAGGUGCCUGUUGGUCACUCUAUUGGGCAGUGCAGAUAAAGAACAUCUCCAUUAUCACAGGAAGAUGUAUUGAAUCAUUCUAUUAAGUAGCUUUAAAAAAUUAUUCCCAUAUGUGUAAAAAUUCUGUGUUAAUUUGAAUAUUUAAUUUUAUUGCCUUAUUAUCUUUUGAAACUAGAUAAAAUGCAGCAUGCAACCAAUUGUAAGGAUCAGGAAUUAAAGGUCAGCAUGAGGUGUUCUUGGAUUCUGAAUACCUCAACUGUAGUCCUAGCACUGUCCUUGCACGGCUUGGUGAUUUAAGGAAAAUCCUCCGUGUCAAUCAACUUUGUAUAACAAAGGGAUUAACCUGCAAACACCAAAGAAAUCUGAAUUCUCUGAAUUUUGAUAAGCCACUCCCAUUGCCUUUUGGCCUGAAAACCUUAUUUGAAAUUCUAAAGAAUACAGCUACAACCUAAAAUAGAAAGCAAUUAAAUAGCCUAUAGACCUUGGUAAGAGUGGUUAUGGAGUUACUAUAUCAGGCAAGUUGGGGCCUGGUGAUUAUGCCCUUCACCCUGCUUUUGAAGAGCCUUUGCCAUUAGAUCAGCAAAAUUAUUUUGACUUAAGAAAUUGAAUGAGUGCAUUUAUAUUUGUAUUUUUUCAGAAAAUUACUUUAGCAUUGUACUAAUAUCAAUCACAUAGGGAAACGUAAAUAUUUUCUAACAUGUAGAUCCUAUGUCAGCACUUUGGGAUGAUGUGAGAGGGCUUAGCCAUUCCUUCCAAUAUCUUUUAGCUGCCCCCAUAAAUGCAUAAGAUCUACAUUAAAAACUGUGCUUUCAUUACAAGCAUAAAAUUAAGACAACUUCCUGUUAAACUUCUACUCAUUUCUAAGACAAUAGUUUACCACUAAACCCUCAUAUAUAGAAACUGAAACUUCUCAUUGUGAUUUUGAUUUUUCAUUUCUCUGAUGAUCAGUGAUGUUGAGCUUUCUUUCAUACGUUUGUUGGCUGUGUAAAUGUCUUCUUUUUUGAAGUGUCUGUUCAUAUCCCUUUCCCACUUUCUGAUGGGGUUGUUUUUUUUCUUGUAAAUUUGUUUAAGUUCCUUGUAAAUUCUGGAUAUUAGACCUUUGUCAGAUGGGUAGAUGGUACAAAUUUUCUCUCAUUCUGUAGGUUGCCUGUUCACUCUGAUGAUAGUUUCUUUUGCUGUGCGGAAACUCUUGAGUUUAAUUAGAUCCCAUUUGUCAAUUUUGGCUUCUGUUUCAAUUGCUUUUGGUGUUUUUGUCAUUAAGUCUUUGCCCAUACCUAUGUCCUGAAUGGUAUUGCCAAGGUUUUCUUCUAGGGUUUUUAUGGUUUGGGGUUUUACAUUUAAGUCUUCAAUCCAUCUUGAGUUAAUUUUUGUAUAAGGUGUAAGGAAGAGGUCCGGUUUCAGUUUUCUGCAGAUGGCUAGCCAGUUUUCCCAGCACCAUUUAUGGAAUAGGAGAUCAUCUCCCCAUUUCUUGUUUUUGUGAGAUUUGUCGAAGAUCAGAUGGUUGUAGAUGUGUGGUGUUAUUUCUGAGGCCUCUGUUCUGCUCCAUUGGUCUAUAUGUCUGUUUUGGUACCAGUAUCAUGCAUUUUGGUUACUGUAGCCUUGUAGCAUAGUUUGAAGUCAGGUAGCGUGAUGCCUCC
rnacentral:lncRNA from 1 species